rnacentral:rRNA from 1 species
GAUGAACGCUGGCGGCGUGCUUAACACAUGCAAGUCGAACGGAAAGGCUCCUGCUUGCAGGGGUACUCGAGUGGCGAACGGGUGAGUAACACGUGGGUGAUCUGCCCUGCACUUCGGGAUAAGCCUGGGAAACUGGGUCUAAUACCGGAUAGGACGAUGGUUUGGAUGCCAUUGUGGAAAGUUUUUCGGUGUGGGAUGAGCUCGCGGCCUAUCAGCUUGUUGGUGGGGUAAUGGCCUACCAAGGCGUCGACGGGUAGCCGGCCUGAGAGGGUGUACGGCCACAUUGGGACUGAGAUACGGCCCAGACGCCUACGGGAGGCAGCAGUGGGGAGUAUUGCACAAUGGGCGCAAGCCUGAUGCAGCGACGCCGCGUGGGGGAUGACGGCCUUCGGGUUGUAAACUCCUUUCGCUAGGGACGAAGCGCAAGUGACGGUACCUGGAGAAGAAGCACCGGCUAACUACGUG